rnacentral:lncRNA from 1 species
CGACCGCUGAUGUCCAACACUGAAAAGUUGAGGCCAAAAUGGACAUAAUAUUUACGCUUGAUACAGAUCUGAAUUUGGAAUAUUGUAACUAAAUUUUUGACAGAUAAUAGGUUUCUGACAAAUAAUUACUAUAGUCAUAGAACUACAAAUUGAUUAUUUGAUUUGAAUUUAUAUUCUUUCUUUUUUGCUUUUGUGCAAUACACUAUGCUGUUGCGAAUUGACCCC